CCUCCAAAGUUUCCCUCAGGAUAGCUGGCACUCGGCUGUGGGGCAGUUUUACCCGGUAAAGCGAAUGAUUAGAGGUCUUGGGGCCGAAAUUAUCUCAAUUUAAUCUCAAACUUUCAAUGGGUAAGAGGGCUGGCUCACUGGCAUUGGAGCCGUGGGGUGGAAUGUGAGUGCUCAGUGGGCCACUUUUGGUAAGCAGAACUGGCACUCGGGAUUAAAAGCUGAGUGGUCAGAAGAAGG
rfam:Buceros rhinoceros silvestris contig77081, whole genome shotgun sequence.